rnacentral:rRNA from 1 species
UCGAGGAUCUUCGGCAAUGGGCGCAAGCCUGACCGAGCGACGCCGCGUGUGCGAUGAAGGCCUUCGGGUUGUAAAGCACUGUCGAGGGGGAGAAAGGUCCGCAAGGGCUUGAUCUAUCCCUGGAGGAAGCACGGGCUAAGUUCGUGCCAGCAGCCGCGGUAAGACGAACCGUGCGAACGUUGUUCGGAAUCACUGGGCUUAAAGGGCGCGUAGGCGGGUCUUCAAGUCAGGAGUGAAAUCCUCCGGCCCAACCGGAGAAGCGCUUUUGAUACUGGAGACCUCGAGGGGUGUAGGGGCAUGUGGAACUUCCGGUGGAGCGGUGAAAUGCGUAGAUAUCGGAAGGAACGCCGGUGGCGAAAGCGACGUGCUGGACACCUACUGACGCUGAGGCGCGAAAGCCAGGGGAGCAAACGGGAUUAGAUACCCCGGUAGUCC